GAAAGUUCAGUCGUUAGUAAUCUCCCAGAAAUUAAGUCUAUUACAGUGUACAAUCCCCAUAUUUCAAAAGUCAAAAACCAAGCAAAUCCACGGAUAACGCUUUUUACAACCUUGCAGUAUGUGGGCAGGACCUAGAUUCCUCUAUACAAAUCCAAAAACAAACGAGGCCUCGUUAUCAUCUUUUAAUUUUGCCACGUACAAUUCAGCUAACGUUGAUUUCCAAUGCCCACACCAAUCAAUACUGUGCCCCCAUGCCAGGGACCAAGGAUGAUGGUUCUCGUUGGGUUUUGAGUUGAAUGUUAGGUUUGAGAGAAGAGUGGAUAGAGUAUCAUGCAUGCUUAUUCUAAACCCCAACAAACUUGUUAGGUUUUUCUACUUGCUAGUCCACGGUUUUCAUCCUUUCAAGAAUCCUUUAUCAUUAAGCUUUCUGUUUCCUUCUUUCCUCGCUACUCCUUUAUCAUAUGCAUUCUUGGCUCUCUACAUUCAUAGUUUUUCUAGUGAAAAGUAAUUAGAAAGAGGGAGAUGCCGCCAGGUUGGGGACCGCCACCCGGAGGACCAGGGUUCUGUGGCUGCUGUGAUUUUCUCUGUAAUGGCAUAUGCAGGAUUGUAUCUUCUUGUUUUUAUUUCUUGUGCUGCUGCUGCAUCCUAGAGAGCUGUUGCGGACCAUUGUUUGGUGGUCCAGGUGGCCCACCCGGGCCUCCUCCUCCGGGACCUCCUCGGUUCUGAUCAGCAUGUUUGCCGAAUUUUAUUUGCAUAUCGUUGUGAAUUGUGAUUGCAUUAGCAAGAUCAACAUAUAUAUGUAAUUUUGCGUAACUUUUAUUCCACUGCUAAAGAAUCAUGUGUUCACCUUUAGGCAAAGCUACCACACCAAGCCUUCGUGAGCAAUGGUGGCAAAAAGGAAAGCUUAACAGCUCAUUUCCUUAUUGAUAUCAUUGUUAAAUUUUACUAUCUAAUAACGUUUACUUGAAAAUUUGAAAGCAUUAAGAAUCU